UGAAGUAUAGCAUAAAUUUCAAUGCAUUUCACUUACACUGAUAAGAUGGCUACUAAAUAAGCCUACUUUAA
rnacentral:tRNA from 1 species